CGACACACUAUCAUUAACUGAAUCCAUAGGUUAAUGAGGCGAACCGGGGGAACUGAAACAUCUAAGUACCCCGAGGAAAAGAAAUCAACCGAGAUUCCCCCAGUAGCGGCGAGCGAACGGGGAGCAGCCCAGAGCCUGAAUCAGUAUGUGUGUUAGUGGAAGCGUCUGGAAAGGCGCGCGAUACAGGGUGACAGCCCCGUACACAAAAAUGCACAUGCUGUGAGCUCGAUGAGUAGGGCGGGACACGUGGUAUCCUGUCUGAAUAUGGGGGGACCAUCCUCCAAGGCUAAAUACUCCUGACUGACCGAUAGUGAACCAGUACCGUGAGGGAAAGGCGAAAAGAACCCCGGCGAGGGGAGUGAAAAAGAACCUGAAACCGUGUACGUACAAGCAGUGGGAGCACGCUUAGGCGUGUGACUGCGUACCUUUUGUAUAAUGGGUCAGCGACUUAUAUUCUGUAGCAAGGUUAACCGAAUAGGGGAGCCGAAGGGAAACCGAGUCUUAACUGGGCGUUAAGUUGCAGGGUAUAGACCCGAAACCCGGUGAUCUAGCCAUGGGCAGGUUGAAGGUUGGGUAACACUAACUGGAGGACCGAACCGACUAAUGUUGAAAAAUUAGCGGAUGACUUGUGGCUGGGGGUGAAAGGCCAAUCAAACCGGGAGAUAGCUGGUUCUCCCCGAAAGCUAUUUAGGUAGCGCCUCGUGAAUUCAUCUCCGGGGGUAG
rnacentral:rRNA from 1 species